GGUACAGGGCACUGUGUAGGUGGCUCUUACAGGCAUUGUAUUACUCAGUCUUGGUAAAGUUCCAUCACUGCAGGACCAAAGCCUCUAUACUGGGUAGGAGAAAUGUAUCUUGCUGUUUUGCUGAGAGCUCUGGACUCUCCAGUGUAAAGUCCAGGCAAACCAGACCUAUCUAGCCCAUGAUGAGUGUUGGGACGUACAGCAGAGCCUGUCUCUGACCACCUCCUCACAUCUGCACCAACCCACAAACAGAUGGUUAAUCUAGGAAUCAAAUGAAGAAAUGGUCAACUCAUUAUGAAGAAAAUUCUACUGGAGUCUGGAGUCUACUAAUUUUGUACAUCUUGAGCAAUUGCUUCUCCUUGUAAAUAUCAUGUGGUGGGAUUUGGGUAAGAUUGUUUCGUUGAUAGUA